rnacentral:rRNA from 1 species
GGCGAUCUGCUGGAACUCAACUGACGCUAAGGCGCGAAAGCGUGGGGAGCAAACAGGAUUAGAUACCCUGGUAGUCCACGCCCUAAACGAUGUACACUAGUUGUUGGGAUGCUAGUCAUCUCAGUAAUGCAGCUAACGCAUUAAGUGUACCGCCUGGGGAGUACGGUCGCAAGAUUAAAACUCAAAGGAAUAGACGGGGACCCGCACAAGCGGUGGAGCAUGUGGUUUAAUUCGAAGAUACGCGAAGAACCUUACCUGGGCUUGAUAUCCUAAGAACCUUAUAGAGAUAUGAGGGUGCUAGCUUGCUAGAACUUAGAGACAGGUGCUGCACGGCUGUCGUCAGCUCGUGUCGUGAGAUGUUGGGUUAAGUCCCGCAACGAGCGCAACCCACGUAUUUAGUUGCUAACGGUUCGGCCGAGCACUCUAAAUAGACUGCCUUCGUAAGGAGGAGGAAGGUGUGGACGACGUCAAGUCAUCAUGGCCCUUAUGCCCAGGGCGACACACGUGCUACAAUGGCAUAUACAAUGAGACGCAAUACCGCGAGGUGGAGCAAAUCUAUAAAAUAUGUCCCAGUUCGGAUUGUUCUCUGCAACUCGAGAGCAUGAAGCCGGAAUCGCUAGUAAUCGUAGAUCAGCCAUGCUACGGUGAAUACGUUCCCGGGUCUUGUACUCACCGCCCGUCACACCAUGGGAGUUGAUUUCACUCGAAGCCGGAAUACUAAACUAGUUACCGUCCACAGUGGAAUCAGCGACUGGGGUGAAGUCGUAACAAGGUAACCGUAGGAGAACCUGCGGUUGGAUCACCUCCUUUCUA